CCCGAGAGGGAGAGCCGCCCGCUCGGUGCGUGCUGUGCGUCAGGGCCCAUCUCAAAAUGGCGGUGCACUCGAACCUGAGCGGCCCGUCGCUCCCUCAACUGUCGGAUACAAAUAAAACGGAGGGCGAGAGUUCCGCGCAGCAGCUGGAAAAUGAAAAUCGCGUCCAGAUGGACUUAUAUGAUGAUUUGAUUGGUGAUAUAAUAGGAGUACCUUUAAAAAAUGAAGUAGAACCUAAAAAGGACAAUUUGGAGUGCACAUCAAAUAAUAUACUCAUCCCAAUUAAAGCUGACCCUUCUAAAAGUUGUGAUCCGGAAUAUAUUGAUGCACCACUUCAUAAAAAACUUAUGUUGAUUGGAAAUCUGACAUGGUGGACUACCAGUGAUGACUUAUUAGCUGCCAUUCAUUCUGCUGGAAUAUCUAGUGUUGAUGAUAUGAAAUUUUACGAAGUUGCAAAAGGUGGUCAGUCCAAGGGGUUUGCUAGUGUGACAUUGUCUUUGAAAAGUGAUAUACAAAGAUUGUUAAAGAUUCUUCCAAAAAAAGAAGUUCAUGGAAGGAACCUGGAUGUCCGGCAUUUUACGAAAGCAAAUUACCAGUAUUUUGAAACCCAGUUCAUAAAUGCAAUGGAAAAAUCAAAGUUGCAUUCAGCACACUGCGAUAUUUUUGGUUGCAAUGGAAAUGACAACCAAUUUGUAUUUGAUCCUGUGGAAGAAGGAUAUCCAGACCCAAUUCCAUGGCAGAUCCAGCAGAAGUUUUCAACGUUUAUAAAUCUUCGUUCGUUGACGAAGGAUCCAGUAGUCCCGGACAAUACCUUUCCACCGUUGCCACAUCCACCAAUUAGACAAAUCACUUCAGUUGUUGAAACUAAACUCCAUCAUGGCUCUACACCAUUUUCAAACAAUAUGUUGUUACAAAAUUUGACUUCUUUGGCUGUACCACCUGUGAGCAUAUCAGCUGCGAAUAUUCCAUCUCCAGUUGUUGGUGCAUUUCCCCAGAUUUUCUUCAAAUACUUAACUUCGUUGGGAAUACCACUUACAAACAUCCCAGCUCCACUUCUCAGUACAUUUCCAAGAUUUUUCUUACAAAGCUUACCUUCGUCGCCAGUAUCACCUGUGAACGUUCCAAUUCCGGUUCUUAGUGGACAUGGACUAAGUCAGAUAUCUCAAACUUCUUGUGUUAAUCCUGCGACAUUCAUAGCACCAACAAUAAUGGGUCUUUCCACCUUGGACAAUAAUAAGACUCCACCUGUGUAUAAUACGUAUCAUAAGGAUUACAAGUUAUCAGGAAGGGAAACGGGUGUUCAAGAGACAUUGCAAAGCACAGAGGAGUCUAUUAAAGAACUUCAUAGCAAAGGAACAUUUUCAACCAAUGAUGAUGGAAACAAUGAUUAUGGGAAUCUACUGCAGCUUGUUUCUUUUGUUAAAAAAUCCAAAGCAAUUGCACCAGACAGCUACAGGGAUUCAGUAAACUGUCCUCCAAAUCAACUUCAUGAGAGAGAGGCCAGCCCAAGCAGCUCAGGAUUACGGGAGCAUGAAUACACUGGACAAAGAAAAAACCAAAGAUCUAGAGAGACAAGUGGAUAUCUGCGAGAUCGGUCCAGAAGUCCAGGUUCCUGUGAUAGUUAUCAAGAGAAAAGAAUGGAUUAUGAUCGCAAAAGACAACGGAGUUAUGAAAGAAGUUACUAUGGAAAUUCACCUUCAGUUCAUCAACAUUGGGACAGCUAUGGCUGUGAUCGGGACAGCCGAGGGCGUGAUCGGGACAGCCGAGGGCGUGAUUGGGACAACUAUGGCCGUGAUCGGGACAGCCAUGGUGGUGAUCGGGACUGCCAUGACCAUGAUCGGGACAGCCGUGGCCGUGAUCGGGACAGCCGUGGCCAUGAUCGGGACAGCCGUGGCCACAAAAAGGACAGGUUUGACCAUGACAGGGACAGCUCUGAUUGUGAAAGACAUUAUUUCUCCAAGAGGUAUCACUUUCGGGAUAGUGAUCCUCGGCAUGGUUACUAUGAAAAGAGUGAAAAAGGACACUGUUACAGUGACGGAACAUAUUGUAAAAUAAAUCAGAAAAGGGACAGAGAAUACCAAUUUUGAUGGUUUUAUGUCAUUCUUGCCAUAUUUUUAAGAGGCUGGUGACUUAUGUACAGAAUCUCAACCAACAAGACAACAAAUUCAAGAAAUUGACCACGCCUCUGAAAAUAAUGAAGAGUAUUGACCUUUCAUUCCAGACAAACCAGACUUUUAAAAGCACAGAAUAGCUUUAAGGAAAGUGCUAGGUGGAUGUAAAGUGCGGUAAUGGUAAAGAUUACCUGUGACACUAGAAUUUCCCCCCUCCGGACCAACUGUGUGCUAAACUGUUGACCUUUUAACUGCAUUGUUUGCAAAUGUACCAUAUUCUAUUGAUGCAAUACUAAUCACUAUUGUUUCUUGUUGGUAAUUUCUUCACACUUAAAUGAAACAAAUCAUCCAAUGCCUUAUGGAAUUUAGAAUCUUAUAAAGACAUCUUAGGAUAGUCUAAUUUCUCUUAACUUGCUAUAUUGUUAGCAGAACCUUUGUGCUUUAUUGUUUGAAUUCUUAUUUAUGUAUGACUUUUUACAUCUGCAGUACUUUUUUAUUGCAUGUUAGUAAAAUGACUGAAUCAACUUUAUGAUUUAUGGAAAAUAAUAUGGCUAUAACUUGUAAAAGAUUCAGUCAGGAUUAAUUUUAAUAUUUUAAAAUACUAACCACCAAGAUGAAAUGCAUUGGCUGUGAGCAAUCUUUUUAAGCUUUUGUGUUCACUUGUCAAUUACUUACUGUCUGUCAGGUGUUUUGUGAAAUGAUCUGAAGACUAACUGACAAAGUACACCAGACAUGUUGAUGACCAGUUAAGAUAUAUGAAUGAAAAUUAGCAUUGAUUUUUGUGCACUAAGAAAUAUUCUCCACUAAAUUAAUUUGGCAGCAUAUUUAAUGAGUGAAGGUACUAGCAAAAUAUCAGCUGAAAGCUCUGCAAUAUCUGAGGCUGGUUUCAAGUUCAAGCAAUAGGUGAAUUGUUGAACUUGUUUCAUUUUAGCAGCAUUGUGUUGAUUUUACCUUUUUAAGAUGUUGGCAGGGUUGAACAGGAACAUGUCCUUUCCUCACUGCUACUAUGGUGACAGUCAUUAAAAGUAAUUUUGGUUGUUGCACUUCAAAUUGCAGAAUAUGCAUGGGCUUAUAUUUAAUUAGCCAACCAUCACAUCCACGCAACUAGUAGUGGGAAAAGUUACAUACCCCACAUCUACAUGACAAAAACCUUUCAUAAUUGUGAUGAAAGUUUGGAAGAACUAAGCAAACUUCAGUUCUUUCUUUGGUUUUGUUUCCUUCUGCAUCAGGUUGAUAGUAGUGUGGAAGGAAGAAUUUUGGAUUUUUAUAAUGUUGCAUAGUUGUCAAGUGCAUUGCCAUCAAAUUGCAGUCCCCUAUUUUUUAAAAUCUAGUGUAGUUACCUUCAGAAUCCACAUGACAGUCUGAAAAUAAAGCUUAAGGGAGCAUUGCUAAAGUAAAUUGGAUAGUUCUGACUCUGGCUGACUAGUAAGAGAGGUGAUGAGGCCAGCUGUCUGAUUGAGAGUGAAUUUUGAAGCUACGGCUUGGUUUAUAUCUAAUGAAUUGGCAGCCAUGACUGGCAACUAGGCCAGUUCCUUGAGGGGCAGGGUUUCUACCUGAGAGGUGAAGUUUCACUGAUCCAGUUGUGUCUGAUACAGUGAUCAAUUCAUAAGAUGUCAAAGGUGUGAGCCUGUAGGUUCAGCUGCACAGUGUUAAUGGAGCAGGCAGGUCCUCCAUUUCUUGGAUAAUCAGUGUUUCUAAAUGCAAGCAAAAAGUCUGGAGUAAUAAGGGCCUCAGCUGUCAUUUGAAGAACUUGGAGGAGAUGCAGAAUGACUAGUCCAGAACAGGAUAAGUAAUACUGAUCUUCCUGCCUUGAUCAUUUUGCAUUAGGCAUUGCCACACUACCUUUUGCACCCCUGCCAUAUUUCAGGUCAUUCUCUUCCUCAAUUUUGUGUUUCUCAUCCAAUCACAACUAGCCAUUGCACCAUCUUUCCUCAUUGUAAUUGCACAUGGGCACAAACAGCAGCCUGCAUCACUGUCAUGCUAAUGAAAAAAUAUCAGAAGCUGUAACAGAUGUGUUAUGGCUCAUAUAUAUUACUGAAAGGAGACCGGUCUGUGUUGUUUUGCAUUCAUGAGGACAAAUACAAGAAUACCGAAUUUCAAACGACCUCAACAGUUCUCAUGCAGUGUCACAUUUGUCCUAAUCAGUGCAAGACAAAACCGACCAUUAGAUGUAUAUCUUUUCUGGAACGUGAAAGGCAACUGCUUGCUCCACAUCAAUAAUUGUAAUCGUACUGGGUGUUCUGCCUUAGUUGGAGCUGCGUGCCUGAAAAUAUGAAAGUGUUCGUAAACAGUUUGUGUGGCAUUUUGUCUUGUCACUUUACCAUGAAUGUGUUGUCACCAUAAAGCAGUAAAAUUAUUGUUUAGGGGCACUAAAUAUCUGCUGUAUUAUGAUAUCUUUGCCACUAGAACUUUCUGUGCAGCCAGGGAGCUAAGGCUCCACCAAAAUGCCAGGAGUCAUUUGUAUAGAUAUAAUGUUAUGAUCUCUAGUGAUUAUAAUCUCCUGUUUGUCAAACGAUGAGAACUGUUAUGCAGAUGCAUCAUAGUAACAACCAGGGACCUGGAGGUAUCUGCAUAAUUCUUUGGCCAACACAAGCCACAUGCUGGUGCCCAAUCAAUGACAACCUGUAUGUGGAACAUCGAAAUGGCUGCAAGUACCAGCGUUUUUUCCAGUUGAGCAGAAGGGUCCAUAUAGAACCUGAUGCAAUCAUUUGCUUGGAAGGUGGGGUUGUGGAAACAAAAGUGUCCAUAACCAAUUGCAUGCACAGGCUAUGGAUUGAUGAGCUGAUAUGAGAUGUAUCACUAGCUGAAGUCUGGACAGAGUUCAAAACAGCUAAAAAUGAAAUGUGGGUCUUGAUUACCAUUACCACUGCCACAGAGUUAGUUACAGAUUCAUUGUAGUAGGCUACAUGGGUCUGUGAUUGCCUGCCUUUAGAUCCUGUAUCUUGAAAGUAAUCAUAAACUCCACAUCUGUAUACCUUCUAUGUUUUGUAAGGAUACUUGUGAGCAUGGUCUCCUGUUCGUUUCUAUAGUAUUGCUCUUCCUCCGUACACAGGUGAAUAGCUGGUGUGAUUUCUGUGGUCAAAAUCCUCUCUGGUGUAACUGAUGAAGGAAAUCUUGAUAAAUAUACCAAUAUCGCUGUAUUUGGGUUUCUCAAGAUGAAUCAAUUUUAAGAAAAUUUCUAUCAACUGAUAACUACAGAUGAAUGUUCUUUUAAAUAGUUUUCUGUGUUUUCUACUGAAACUGCUUAAUGUUACUGAGUAAGUCCAGUAUGUCUUUAGACCUGGAUUUGAUAGCACUUCAUCUCUUAUUGGUAUGCUUCUGAGUAAUCUACAUGGAAAUCCUGAAGCAUGAGCUGAGAUGCAAUGGGAUUUAAAGCACAGUGCCUCUGCAUGUUUGUCCAGUCGUGCUAAUUUAAACUUCUGUCAAUGUUUCUAAACCAGAGUUAGCAUUACAAAUGCAAUCUUGUGUGCUAGCUGAUCUUUGAUGUAAUUGAAAAUCUUCCCAUGUGUCUGGUUUAAUGUUUUUAGGUGUAAUGCCUUAUCAGAUUGAGCCAAUCUUCAGUAACAUUUUACAUUUUAUGCUGAAGAAUAUACAAGUUAAUUAAGGAGCUGGUUAAAUGUCUGAUUGGAAAUGAUGUUGGGGUUUUGAGGAUGACUGUCAGACUUCGUCUUGUGUAGAUCUGUACAAUCCGUUCCCGCACAAUAUUCAAUAGCUCCUGUCUUACUACAAUGGGAAGGAAUAUCAAGUGUAUGCCAUUGCUAGUCAGUAUAUACAAGUUAACUUGUACCAGCAAGUUAAUUUGCUUUGCAGACCAAUCCCUUGGGCACAGUUGACAUACGAUGCAUUUUAGUCUCCUAAUUUAAACUUUCAUGGAACAUUCUGCAUAAGUGCUAAUUGACCUUCAAAUGUUGUCAAGCAAGAUUUUAGAAAAUGAAAGUGCACAUCACACCAUUCUGACAAGCUAUGAUCUACACACGAUAUUCCUUCCCACUGUAGUAAGACAGGAGCUAUUGUAUAUU